rnacentral:lncRNA from 1 species
CCUGCCACUCAAGACAUUUUAUGAUUUUGCCCCUUCUUACCUGUAGAGGGUCAACUAUUAAUGCUUUUAUACAAUUCUUUCUUUUAGUAUCUGCAGAGCCUAAUGAAAUGAUUGGAAUAUAAUAGACCCAGUUUUUAUCAUCAUCUGUGGACUCCUUGCUGCCCUGACUCACCCACUGGACUGAACCUUCCCAGGCACUAACCAGUGUCGUUAAUUCACUUCCAUUUGCCACUGACUCUAUGGACACAAUUGGAUAAGGUUAUUUUAUCAAGACUUUAACUGGAAGGGUGGGUGGCCAUUCGUCUUCAGUGUGUACCCCUUCCAAAUGCAUCCUGAACUGCUGGGACUUCUUUGAAAAGCACCUUCUUUUCCCUGUCUCCUCCUCAGUCCUCUCUUCAGUUAGGCCAUCAAACUCCAAACAAUCAUGCAACCAGAGCCUCUAAUGAUGGCCCCUUCUGCCAGGAACCUUUAAAUUUCCUCUGAGGGAGCUCUGACUGUUGUUUCUCAACAACUGCACCCCCUGUCAGCAGGAAGCAGUUAAGAUCAUCUUCCUCCUUACCUUGAAUCUACCAGCGGUUACAUGUACUUCUUUAGAGGGGUGAAUGAGAGCCAGGUGGGAGGGGGUCCCUGGAGAAAUUCCAGUCAGUCUGCCCAUUGAGGUGGAGCCUUGGGAAGUUCAUGCCCUUUGCAGUGGGGAGGGGCCUGGCCCCACCUCUUCCUAUGUGGAACCCAGUAUUCAAAUAGCAGCAGGAAGCUCUCUAGCAGGGGACUCUGAAACAGGAGGAUGCCUGUCCCCCCUCCUCCUUUUUUUUCCCUUUUCACCCAAUAAAACC